AGAGGUAUAGCUGAGUGGUAGAGCACAUGCUUAGCAUACACAAGGUCCUGGGUUCAAUCCGCAGUACCUCCU
rnacentral:tRNA from 1 species